CCCUGCUCAAAACAGGACUAAGCAGAGAACCCCAGACAUCACCUGCUCCUUAAUUUGUGCAACUCCAUAAAGAGCACAUUGCUGGGUCUAAUCUGGAGAUGCCAAAGGCCUGGAUCAUUGGAGCAAGACCCUCACACCUUUCCUGACAAGGGCAAAUGAAAGACACUGCUGGUCACCACUGCCACCUGAGCAACUAGGAACAACUGAGGACCAAAUAUUGCUCCUGCAAUUGCAACCCCCUAUAACAAGUGAUGGGCAACACCUCAGUUGAGGAGACUCCCCUAAUCUCCACCAUUUCUUACACUUUCUUCCCCCAAUCAUCACACAUUCUCUUGGUCUUCACUGGCUCAAACCUCAGCCAUCUAGCCCUCCUACAACCCCCAGAUGCUCAACCACCUGGUUAGGUCAGAGAAAAGAGACAUAGUGCUGAGUGUCACCAGCAUGUUUCGCUCUUCCUCCAAGGCCAGCUGGUGGGAAUCCUGGAGUAUAAGGCUCGCUCUCUUUACACACAGGGAAGCCAUUCCCAACAACAUUCUUUUAAAACUCUUCAAACCCUUCCAGAGUAGCUGUUGGUAAUGCAAGGCACCUUGAUGCACAAUUCAAGAUGAAGGGAGGCUCUGAAGCACAGAGGUAGUUCAUCAGCUAAUCAUCCUCAGAAAUUAGCCACUGAAAUGAGCACAGGCCUGUGGAGCUGUGCAAUUCCCCAGGACUGACACAGCAGCCUGUGUCACAUUCUCCUUUGUAGGAACACAUCGCUGGCUAUUUCACGAACAGGACAGAGCCCACUACCACCUCCGCCAGCUGCUACUGUUACCUGAGUAGCAGCAGCUGAGGUCUC